AGAGUUUGAUCCUGGCUCAGAACGAACGCUGGCGGCGUGCUUAACACAUGCAAGUCCAACGUGAAAGGGGAGCAAUCCCCCGGUAGGGUGGCGAACGGGUGAGUAAUACAUGGGAAUCUGUCCUGGAGAUGGGGAUAUCCUUCCGGAAAGGAGGGUUAAUACCGAAUAUCGUCCGGGUGACGGGAGUCACUUAGGGGAAAGGGAGGCCUCUGGCAACAUGCUUCCGNUCCGGGAGAGCCCNUGGCCCAUCAGCUAGUUGGUAGGGUAAC
rnacentral:rRNA from 1 species